UAAAUACCUUAUCUGGAGGAG
rnacentral:miRNA from 1 species